rnacentral:rRNA from 1 species
GAUGAACGCUGGCGGCGUGCUUAACACAUGCGAGUCGAACGAAGCACUUUAUUUGAUUUCCUUCGGGACUGAUUAUUUUGUGACUGAGUGGCGGACGGGUGAGUAACGCGUGGGUAACCUGCCUUGUACAGGGGGAUAACAGUUGGAAACGGCUGCUAAUACCGCAUAAGCGCACAGCAUCGCAUGAUGCAGUGUGAAAAACUCCGGUGGUAUAAGAUGGACCCGCGUUGGAUUAGCUAGUUGGUGAGGUAACGGCCCACCAAGGCGACGAUCCAUAGCCGACCUGAGAGGGUGACCGGCCACAUUGGGACUGAGACACGGCCCAAACUCCUACGGGAGGCAGCAGUGGGGAAUAUUGCACAAUGGGCGAAAGCCUGAUGCAGCGACGCCGCGUGAGCGAAGAAGUAUUUCGGGAUGUAAAGCUCUAUCAGCAGGGAAGAUAAUGACGGUACCUGACGAAGAAGCACCGGCUAAAUACGUG